rnacentral:ncRNA from 2 species
UUGUACAUGCAGGGGGGCUUCCCGCACGCGCGGGAGGCUGAGAUAGGCGAACGCCUGACCCUUUGAACCUGUUGGUUAGGACCAACGUAGGGAGCAGCGCAAUGAGUGAC